rnacentral:rRNA from 1 species
GAUGAACGCUGGCGGCGUGCCUAAUACAUGCAAGUCGAGCGAACGGACGAUACUCUUGCUUCUCUGAUGUUAGCGGCGGACGUGUGAGUCACACGUGGAUAACCUACCUAUAAGACUGGUAUAACUUCGGGAAACCGGCGCUAAUACCGGAUAAUAUUUUGCACCGCAUGGUUCAAUAGUGAAAGACGGUCUUUCUGUCACUUAUAGAUGGAUCCGCGCUGCAUUAGCUAGUUGGUAAGGUAACGGCUUACCAAGGCAACGAUGCAUAGCCGACCUGAGAGGGUGAUCGGCCACACUGGAACUGAGACACGGUCCAGACUCCUAAGGGAGGCAGCAGUAGGGAAUCGUACGCAAUGGGCGAAAGCCUGACGGAGCAACGCCGAGUGAGUGAUGAAGGUCUUCGGAUCGUAAAAAUCUGUUAUUAGGGAAGAACAUAUGUGUAAGUAACUGUGCACAUCUUGACGAUACCUAAUCAGAAAGCCACGGCUAACUACGUG